AGUGAACGCUGGCGGUAGGCCUAACACAUGCAAGUCGAACGGCAGCACAGUAAGAGCUUGCUCUUACGGGUGGCGAGUGGCGGACGGGUGAGGAAUACAUCGGAAUCUACUUUUUCGUGGGGGAUAACGUAGGGAAACUUACGCUAAUACCGCAUACGACCUACGGGUGAAAGCAGGGGAUCAUCGGACCUUUAGCGUUUGAUUGAGCCGAUGUUGGAUUAGCUAGUUGGUGGGGUAAAGACCCACCAAGGCGACGAUCCGUAGCUGGUCUGAGAGGAUGAUCGGCCACACUGGAACUGAGACACGGUCCAGACUCCUACGGGAGGCAGCAGUGGGGAAUAUUGGACAAUGGGCGCAAGCCUGAUCCAGCCAUACCGCGUGGGUGAAGAAGGCCUUCGGGUUGUAAAGCCCUUUUGUUAGGAAAGAAAAGCAGCAGGUUAAUACCCCGCUGUUCUGACGGUACCCAAAGAAUAAGCACCGGCUAACUUCGUG
rnacentral:rRNA from 1 species